GAACUGCGCAGGAGGCUCCAAUGCCUGAUGGUCUGUCCCUGUCUCCCAUCACCCUCAGAUGGGAUCCUCUGGUUGAAGGAAAACAAGCUCAGGGCUGCCACUGAUUCUACAUGAUGCCAACCAGCAGCCCCGGGCAUGAUGGAGACAGAGAUGGCAGCCUCUAGGCGCUGGUGACCUCCUCCCCCUCCCUUCCUGAUGUAGUGCGGGAAGAUGGGUCCAGGAUGGGAUUUCCAGCCCCGGCCACACACAGAGACACUCUCCUGACUUUUGGUGCAAGCUCCUCUGCGAACUGUUGAACCAGUGCUGCAUCACGGGGUGGGUAGGACUCAAGAGUGACGCCCUCUGCCUUCACCCAACACACAAUGGGAACCUGUGGCAUAUUCCUUGGAGUAUCUCCAGGUUGAGAAUUCAUGAUCCGCUUGGAAUGGGUUUAGAUCUCGGAAUGAGCUGUCAUCCCGGCCCAGCCAGGUAGCUCAGGAAGCUGCAAGACCUUCCUCCAAGGAACCUGCUGCCAACUCGCCUGGCACAGACAUCCUGACAUGACACCACUGCUCAUUCCCCACUGGCACAGGACCGGCCAUCUCCUCCAAGCCUGAGCUGCCUGUACAGCAUCCCAAGCUCUGGGCGCACCUGGGGCAGCCGUGGCAGGAACGCCGUGGGAUCUGCUGAGUCCUACGAGGCUGCAGUGGGACCGAGUGGGAACCAUGGCCCAUGCAGAACUGCUUCUCCCUUGAAGAAGAA
rnacentral:lncRNA from 10 species